AACGAACGCUGGCGGCGGGCCUCAUACAUGCAAGUCGAGCGCGAAAGUCCGCAAGGAUGAGUAAAGCGGCGCACGGGUGAGUAACACGUGGGUAAUCUACCUUUUGGAUUGGAAUAACCUGUCGAAAGACGGGCUAAUGCCAAGUAAGUUCUUUGGAACGUGGAGUUUUGAAGAAGAAAGAUGGCGCAAGCUAUCGCCGAAAGAUGAGCCUGCGUCCCAUUAGUUAGUUGGUGGGGUAAUGGCUUACCAAGACAAUGAUGGGUACCUGGUCUGAGAGGAUGACCAGGCACACUGGAACUGAAACACGGACCAGACUCCUACGGGAGGCAGCAGUAGGGAAUAUUGCGCAAUGGACGAAAGUCUGACGCAGCCACGCCGCGUGAGUGAGGAA
rnacentral:rRNA from 1 species